AGAGAGAGACAUGCGCGCAUAUCAAUAAGCGGAGGAAAAGAAACUAACUAGGAUUCCCUCAGUAACGGCGAGUGAAGCGGGAGGAGCUCAAAUUUGAAAUCUUCAAGGUUCUACCUUGACGAAUUGUAGUUUAAAGAAGUGUUUUCUGUUGGAAGUUUUGGUAAAAGUUCUUUGGAAUAGGACAUCAUAGAGGGUGAGAAUCCCGUAUUUGACCAUUAUUUCAGCUGUGUGAUACACUUUCAAAGAGUCGGAUUGUUUGGGAAUGCAGUCCAAAAUGGGUGGUAAAUUUCAUCUAAAGCUAAAUAUUGGCGAGAGACCGAUAGCGAACAAGUACCGUGAGGGAAAGAUGAAAAGAACUUUGAAAAGAGAGUUAAACAGUACGUGAAAUUGUCAAAAGGGAAGCGUUUGACACCAGUGUUGUUUUCUCGAAAAUCAAUUAAAAAAGGCAGGAUUUUGUGUUGUAUUGACUUUAUCAGCUUUCUGCACUCUUUUCUUGUCUUUUUUAAUGCACUUUUCGUUUAACAAGUCAACAUCAAUUUCUUUUGUUGUAAAAGGGUCAUUGGAAGGUGGCUUUCUUUUCGGAGAAAGUGUUUAUAGCCUUUGGCCUCUGCAAUCGGAGAGAUUGAGGUCUGCAGCGUAGAUCCUUCGGGGUUAGAUACAUUUGUGCUAAGUUAUAGCCUUUCAUAGACAACUUGUUGACUAUGAUCAGUCAUGUAGCUUACUCGCUUAUGCUAUUUAUACCUACGCUUAGGAUGUUGAUGUGAUACUGCGAGC
rnacentral:rRNA from 1 species